CUACGGGAGGCUCCAGUGAGGAAUAUUGCACAAUGGGAGGAACCCUGAUGCAGCAACGCCGCGUGGAGGAUGACGCAUUUCGGUGUGUAAACUCCUUUUAUAUGUCAAGAAAAUGACGGUAGCAUAUGAAUAAGCACCGGCUAACUCCGUGCCAGCAGCCGCGGUAAUACGGAGGGUGCAAGCGUUACUCGGAAUCACUGGGCGUAAAGGACGCGUAGGCGGGUUGGAAAGUCAGGUGUGAAAUCCUACAGCUUAACUGUAGAGCUGCACUUGAAACUUCUAAUCUAGAGUAUGGGAGGGGGAGAUGGAAUUAGUGGUGUAGGGGUAAAAUCCGUAGAUAUCACUAGGAGUACCUAAAGCGAAGGCGAUCUCCUGGAACAUUACUGACGCUAAGGCGUGAAAGCGCGGGGAGCAAACAGGAUUAGAUACCCCGGUAGUC
rnacentral:rRNA from 1 species